AUUCUAGUCUACAGCCACACCACGCUGAACGUGCCCGAUAUCGGCUCACCUUGGAAGCUAAGCAGGGUCGGGCCUGGUUCGUGCUCAGAUGGG
rnacentral:miRNA from 1 species